rnacentral:rRNA from 1 species
CCUACGGGAGGCAGCAGUGAGGAAUAUUGGUCAAUGGGCGCGAGCCUGAACCAGCCAAGCCGCGUGAAGGAUGAAUGCCCUACGGGUUGUAAACCUCUUUUAUAAAGGAAUAAAGUGAGGCACGAGUGCCUUUUUGUAUGUACUUUAUGAAUAAGGAUCGGCUAACUCCGUGCCAGCAGCCGCGGUAAUACGGAGGAUCCGAGCGUUAUCCGGAUUUAUUGGGUUUAAAGGGAGCGUAGAUGGGUUGUUAAGUCAGUUGUGAAAGCUUGCGGCUCAACCGUAACAGUGCAAUUGAUACUGGCGGGCUUGAGUACAGUUGAGGUAGGCGGAAUGCGUGGUGUAGCGGUGAAAUGCUUAGAUAUCACGAAGAACUCCGAUUGCGAAGGCAGCUUACUAAACUGACACUGACAUUGAUGCUCGAAAGUGUGGGUAUCAAACAGGAUUAGAUACCCCUGUAGUC